rnacentral:rRNA from 1 species
CCCCUAGACGUUCUGGGCGGCCCGCGCACUACAUUGGCACUCUCAAUAAGUUCCUAGAUCUAAAACUUUGGGGUAUUCUAUUAAGUGGUGUCGUGACUGGGAUUAACCCUUGCAAUUAUUGGUUACGAACGAGGAAUUCCUUGUAAUCGCGGUUUAUCAGCCCGCGUUGAAUGCGUCCCUGCCCUUUGUACACACCGCCCGUCGCUCCUACCGAUGAAUCGCCCGGUGAAGUUCAUGGAGUGGUGGUUGUUCCAGCUGCUGUCGAAGUGAAAUGGACCUCACGAUUUAGAGGAAGGAGAAGUCGUAACA